AAGACAGAGGAGAAUGUCUUUCCUUCAACCUCAGGGAAAAGGCUGGUGUCCAUCAGAAUCCCACCCUGCUGUGGGCAGCUGGGCUGUGCAUAGGUAGCAGCAAACCAAAAGCCAAACCAACUUAAAAUAGCAGAGGUUAUGAAUGAUGCCACAGAGUGAUCAGAGAUAUCCAAAGCAAGGGAAAGAUAUAAAAGAUAUUUAACAGUUUGCAUCGGUGUUUCCGUGUCUUGCCUGGAAGUCUUUACAAUCACCCCUGUAUCUGAGUUACAAGCAUUUCAACCAGCCAAUCAGAGAACUAAGGCAAACUCUAACUACUACAUGACCACUGAUGUGCCCUGAAUAGAAGGUGA
rnacentral:lncRNA from 1 species